CUUCAAGAGAUGCCAGGCAUUAAGUGUUCUCACAACUGCCCCCAACAUCCCACUGCUCAAAAACAGUGCUUCAAAAGACUCCUAGAAAACCCUGCAAGACUUUCAAAAUAAAUCUGUUUGUGUUUCUGAGCCUUCUUGGUCACUAGUGGGCUUAGGCUCAGAGUUACAAGGAUAUACUGAAUUACAGGACAUGUGAAACGAUGACAAGGAGAUCCAGCAAAGCCUGAUAAUGAGAGACUGGAAGAGCCAAACUCUGCUCCUGCUGUCUAUUUGAUUUGUUCAACUCACCAUAAAUGCUGUUGCAUACUGCAUGGGUAAAAAGCUACAGGAGAGCUGAGUAAUCAGUGUCUGUAGUUAUCUUCACAUGUCAUCUCAGUGCACUUCAUCAAGUAUCACACAUCCUUUAAGGAGCAUCUCUGGAAUCCCUGAGUGCUCCAAAGAUACAAAAUGUCCCUGGAAAACUCAUGUGAUUUCCACUAAGGAUUUCAGAACCUCCUCUCAGGAUGGAAGAGUAAUGAAUCACAGGAUGUUCUGAGGAGGAAGGGACCCACAAGGAUCUUCAAGCCCAGCUCUAAAGUGAACAGCCCAUAUGAGGAUUAAAUCUACAAACCUUGGUGUUACAAGCAUCUGCUCUGACCAACUGACAAAAUCUCAGGAUCAUUCUCUUGGUAAAUUCUGAAGAUGUGAGUUCUAAAACAGACUGGGUGCACCCAUCAAUCUCAGACAAUAUCUGCCAAUCAAUGAUGUGUUCUCCUCUGUAUAAGUGAAAGGCACAUCAAGAAAGGAGGAUUUGAAAAUAUAAUUAAUUUUUCUAAGGACUGAAUCAAUGAGAAGUGAUAGUAAUAUAUAAAGAAAUAAAAAGCUGUUUCCAGCAGCUGUUCUAAACAGAUAUUCUUCUCCAAAAAACCAUACUAAAAUCACAUAUUUUUAAUAGGUAUUUAGUUUAGGUAUAUUUAUUGAGGUUUUUGCCUUUCAUCUUUUCUUUAUCCUUAGACUCAGGAGGGAAAGUUUGAUAUAAGACCACAUUGCAUGAGUUUUUUUCUGUUUACAGAGUAUUUGCAACUGGAUAUCCUUCAGGGGAGUUUUCUAGGGUGUAAUUUCCAUGAAACUAGGGAGAAAUGGAAUUAUUUCCUGUCUCAAACUAAACUGAAUUUAUCCGUUACAAAAAUCUCGGUUGUUUCUUAGUGCUGCCUCCGGGUGCUGCAGUAUUCUCUCCUACUUGUGAGGGCUCAUUUUCACCCUUGAGAACUUCAGAUAAGUUACCCCAGAGAAGAAUUAGGUUAUAUAGGUUUUAAACAAUGAUUUAGAGCCUAGUACCUAGAAUAAAGGGCAGUAAACCCCUGCAAUAUCAUUUAGUCUGGGCAGCAGUCAGUGCAGUGUUGUGCCUUUUAGAUAUCGUUAAGUGCACAUUAUGUAGUGUCCAUCCCCCAAGAGCCUCCUCCACAGUCCAAGUGCCUGCACUGCCCAGGAGCAUUUCUUGACACUCACUGUACCACUUGUCUCACUUAAUAUCAUCCCAUUACUCUUAGUUACAGCCCCUUGAUUCACUUUUUUUAAAACCUCACAUUUUGGCUGCAUAAACCUGCCAUACAUUUAGAGGCAGAUUCAUGUUGUGUUAAACAACACACAGAAAACACAGCACACACUUUGCAGUGGACAGUGUCCUGACUUCAGCUUGUGAAAAGAAGUAAAGAAUAAACCUUAACAGAUUCUGUUUGGCUACAGGUGGUGUAAUGAACUGAGCCUUGGGUUAAGCUCCUCUGAUCCCAAAACACAUACUUGAAGAAAUCUGAUAAGUUAUGUAAAAGUCCAUGCAAAUACUUAAACCAAGGUGAUAUAGGACAAGGAGGAAGUUCCAGUUUAACUGAAAGAAACCAGUUUUAGAUUGGAUAUUAUGAAGAAAUUCUUUACUGUGAGGGAGGUGAGACACUGGCACAAUUUGUCCAGAGAAGCUGUGGAUGCCCCAUCUCUGGGAUUGUUCAAGGCCAGGCUGGAUGGUGCUGGGAGCAACCUGGUCUAGUGGAAGGUGUCCCUGCAGGGUUGUUGGAACCUGAUGAUGUUAAAGAUUCCUUCCAACCUAAACAUUUCUAUGAUUCUGUAAUACAUAUUUCACUGCAGGUCACUGUGACAAACCAUCCCAAAAAAUGUCAGCUGUCUCAAAGGUUGAAUUCUCUCUAGCACCAAGGAAAGCAGAGCACAGAGAAAAGGUCAACAGCACCUCACCCCUCCCCAUUGUCACUCCUGCAUAGCCUGGAUUAUCACCCCAAUUUCCAUAAUUUGUGUCAUCAUUCUACAAGUUGCUUUGUAUUUUAAUUCCAGCCUGAAACUGUCCACCCAGUUACUUUUCCUCUGAACUCUAAGUAUCCCCUGCCCCACAGGACUUAAGGGACAAUAUGAACAUCUUGCCUGGUCUGCCUUUGGGACAUGCUUCUUUAUAAAGCCCCAGCUGCAGGUUUGAUGAGCACCCAGUGGUGCUUUCCCAUAUAAUAAAUGUAUGUGUAUAGGCAUGAGUUAAGACAUUCUUUAAUCUUAAUUUGAUAUAAUGAUUAGUAAAGAAAGCAAGUUAAGCACCCAUGUUUUAUAUCUUACAGUAGUGAAUAAAGUACUCAGACCUGUAUUCUACUCUUGUUAUCAACAUGGAGAAAAUAAACUGUUUUUUCUGACACUGAGUCAUUUUUUUCCCCCUAGCUGAGCUUUUUUUGUGACUGUUAUCUAUAUCUCCAAGUGUAAGCAUGUGUUAUUGUGGACAGCCAGAACCAAAUGUUUCAGUAUUGCCUCAGUGUGCUUGCCAUCCCUCUCUGACUUCAGCCUAUGUAUAGAUUACAGCAUUUGCUGCCAUAACACAAUUUUAAAAGUAACUUUUUCCUUGAUGAAGGUCAAAAGGACAAAAGGUCAUUCUGCAGCAAUUACUUUUCCUAUCAUUUAAAAAGAAAUAUUCAGGUCAUGCUUAACUUAAAAAUUGCCCCAUCCCACCCCCUCAAUAUUUAAUUUUUUUACUUCCUGCCAAUUGUACUUUGCCAAGGAGUUGCCAACAUAUUUUUAAGAACUGUGUGUUGUGCUGUUCAUCUGACCUGUAGGCAAAAAAGUUCUCAUCAGAUAAAAUAUCCUGCUUUUCUGUAAGAAAACAUUUUCCUUAAUGGGAAAAAAACAGGUGAUGCUGGAGUGAGCAAGUAUUUUCAAUAACAUAUUGGAUUUUUUUGUUCAAUCAAGAAUGUAUCAUUUUGGAAAUUGAAAGUUAUAUCUGUCAGCCUCCUGGCUAGGAAAUGUCAUAUUAAUCCUGACUUCACAUGGACACUCUGACAGUGACUCCACCCUUGAUAAACCAUUUAGUGUCUGUUCAGUCUAGUGAAGAAUCUUCAGACUAUCAUUCCACUGUGAUGUGGCUUUAGCUAAUAAAUCAGUCAGAGAAUCUUUUUCCUCUCUUCCCUCCCUUCACCACAUUAAUAUUGAUUAUUUGGAGGUAAGGAGUCCCAAGGAGUGGAAGUGGAUAUGCCUCAUUGCCUCGAACAAUUCUUUUCCCUCUAUUGGGACAGUACAAUGUAAAUUAAUAGUGUGCUUGCAGACACUAGAUAAUGUUAAUGCACUCGCUAUUGAUAGAGUGAAAUAACAGGAGUAACUUCAGCUUUGCUUAAAACAAAACAUUAAUUUUCCAAGGCCACUAGGAUUUAUGCAGCUGGUCGGUGUAACACAUACAGUCUUUGCUUUUAAAUAUGCAACAUUUGCAUUUUUAAACACGAGGCAGGAUUUUAUUGCCAGAUGAAAGACAAAAGGGGAUUUAAAUUCACUGCUUAUGCUCUAAAGCUCUUGUCUGCCUUUAAUCUAAGUCUCUGCUCGAUUUUGUGGGUAAGAAGAUGCCUUUUCUACAAGGAAAUAAUACAGAGCAGUCUUAUCCCCCUGUGAUCCUCUGGCUACGUAAAAAUGCAUAGGAAAUCUGUAAGUGCAAAAGCUGUACUUCUGUAUAUGUUUCAAAAAAAGUAAAGUCAACUUUCUCAUUUCACUGAGCUUGAGUUUAAUAUUACUCUUAGCAUCUGGUACAGUGCUGUGUUUUGGAUUUAAUAUUAGAAUAACCUUGAUAACAAACUGAUGUUUUGGUUGUUGCUCAGUAGUUCUUUCUCUAAAUCAAGGACUUUGCAGUGUCUCAUGCGCUGCUGGGGAGCAGGUGCACAAGAAUUCCCGAGAGAGCAAGGCCAGGAGAGGUGACCUGAACAGGACAAAGGAAUAUUCCACAGCACAGGAUGGCAUGCCCAGUAUAUAAGCUGGUCAUGAGAGGACAAUUGCUGCUGGUGUACAGGCUGGGCAGUGUUUUCUUCCCAGUCUCACUGUAGGUGGAAGGGAGUGAGGAAGCUGCUUAACAGUAUUCAGUUGCCAUCUGGUGUCAAACCUGACAAACGUGCUAAAACCAAAGGCAUUGAGGAAAGCUCCACUUUCACAUCCAUCCAUUUGGCUGCUCUGGGAAAUGAUGGCAGACAUGUUGGACGAAUUAGUGGGUAUUUUACAACAGCAUGAACCUCUGCUAGCUGGAACCACAGACAGGGUUUGAGACACAAGGCUUUCUUGAUCCUGAGACAGAUUUGAAGUUCCUGCAGUCCACAGCAUGGAUUUCUCCCACAGCCAUCCUGCCUUUGGUGCACGAGGAGCAUCUCCCAUGCUGCGAUGGGAAACACAGUGGAAUGUAGGUGAAUCUAAUGUCAGCUUGGAGAUGGCUGCAGAUCUGCAAUUCAGCCUAACAAGGGUCACAGCAGCCUGAUAGGAGGCAGGGAAAGCAUUCCCAUGUAGGGUUGGCCCCAGGUUGCCAUUUCCCUUCUGGUCCCACCAAUUUGCUGCACAACUCUGUGUGACUCACCUGAAAUUAGAGUUUACCUAUCUCUAACACCAGCAUAAACUAUGGGUAGAAAUUGAAUUCUAGCAAUUUUGGCUCUGCUUUUCUCCUUGCUCUCUGAACCUAAUUUCUACAAAUGUGUUUCUAGUUCAUAAAUACUCAUGGAAUAGCUCAUGUAAACAAAUUUUGUCUGCACAUUAUUCAUGCUCUGUUUGCUUUGAUUGUGCAAGUUCCUCUAUAUGUGAAUGGUCAUAGAAGUCACAUACUGUUACUUCUGGCACCUGACUGGAUGACUGUUUUUUAGAUAGGAUAAUGAACAGCUAGUAAUAAAUGACAAACUAUAUAGAGUGAAUAUUUGGAGGAAUAAUUAUGUGUGCUGGAAAUCACAAAACUUUCAGGAUUUGCCAGUAUUCUCCCUUCCAAACGAACUGGUAUUCAGUUGAAAGCUCAUGAAUGAUAGAUAAUCUCAUCUCACAAAUAAUGACAGUUCAAACCUCAAUUAAACAAGCUUCACAAAACCCCUGGGAGAUAGACAGCUACAACUAAAUAUUUAGUUACAUUACUAAAACUGAUACAUGCAUAUUUUCACUAAGAAGUUUGGCAUUUGAGGAGCAUUUAAAUGCCAUUCAAAGAAAAGCACUAUUGCAAAUGAGUGAAAAAUACCAUUACUGUAUUUGUCAGAUUCCAGCAUGCAAGAAAAUUAGAUGAAGCAUAUUCAAGGUACCAGCUCUGGUGGACUGAUUGAGGAAAACAGAAUCAUUUACUUGUGACAGGUCUGCCCAGAGCCUCUUCUAGCCUCAAUGAAUUCUAGAGUUACUUGACAGUCUGCCAACCCGCAGAGCAAAUGCCAAAAAUUCCUUCUCACCAUGUGCGAAUUAAAUAAUGACUAAAUAUAGACUCAAAGCAGAGGUAACUUGCACACAUCCAGCUUGUCAGGAGAGAGAAAGACCUGGUUCCUGUUUCAGUAGUUACAAAUUUAUAAGUAGACCUUACAGAAUUCAUUAUUUUCUAUUUUUGCUAAGGUACUACCAGUCUUCAGGAUCAUGGAAAUGGUGAAGGCAUCUUGAUAGCUCUCUGAUGGGUGAGUUCAUCCCUGUAUAGUGCUGGUAGUGCAAGUCCUAACCACAGUCACAUUUUUCUGAUUCCACAUGUGCCUCAGAUGCCCACAGGAGGAACCCCAUAGUACAAGUGGGGGAUGCAGAUCAUGGUUUAUGUGAAAGGACUUGUGUUCAAAGGAUAAGGUUUAUAGGAGCUUAGCUUUUAGGAGCUCACUUUUCAUCAUAUUUCACUACUGUAGAGUUUGAAGUGAUGAAGGAUGCAUGACAGAGUAAAUUAAAGCUUCCUGCAAGCCUUCCAGUAGUUCUUACAUUGGAGCACCUUGAAUACCAACCUGCUAUACCCUUCCUGUAUACUUUAUGCAUGGAAGGUAGUGGGGAAUCUCAUUACCCAAGAGUUGCUCAGAGGGAAAAUAUCCUAUAAGGUACCACAUUGCUCCAAGAUGGCUUUGGACAUCGAGUGCACAAAUGCAGGUAUGAACUGCACUUUUGUUAGGGUGCUCAGCAAGGAGAGGAGAACACAAACACAAGUAGGCAGAAGGUAGUGAAAAAUAUUGAACUAAAUCAGUGUUUAUGCUGAUAGGAAUGGGAUCUGGAUCAGGCAUGCUUUCUCUACAGCUUUCCACCUUUUUCAUCCUACUAAACAAAGAUCUGUUCUCUAGGCUGUCACAUCAACAACCUCCCCCAUAAAACCAAAGGAACAGUCUUUGCAGCCUCAUAUUUGUCAAAAAAAAAAAAAAAAAAAAAAAAAAGGAUAUAACCUUUGAAUUAGUAAAAUUACUUGUUAAACAAGAUCAAGAAAAUCCUGCUGGCCUCCCAGAGCUAACAACAGUUCACUUUUGGAUGCACUGCCAACUCUCAUGAACUGGCUCUCCCUUUUCCCUCUUUCCCCAGUAGGUAAGCACACUUAACAGCCUUCAAAGCAGCCAGACUUCUCCUUUCUUUCCUUUUGUAGGUAAUGCUCCCCACUCUCAAAGUAGGAAAAAAGCUGGGGUAAGUUUCUAUUAAGCCAACACAGCCCUUCUUUAAACCUCAAGACAUUGGUUCUCUUACCCUCUUGAACCUUUCAUACUCUGAAGAGCUUGUGUUUUUCACUUUUCUUUUACAGCUGGAGUUUCUGAAAACUUAAGUCUUUUUUUCUGCCUCAUGCCUGGAGACAUUUUUCUUCUCAGAAUGUUUAAAUUCCCUUGUACUGCAAGGUAAAGGAGCCAAUGCAUGUUUGCAACUUAAUCAGGAUAUUGUCAGGUUUCUUCCCCAGUCCAACAUGAACUAGGAGAAAAAGGCUUAGAAAUGACAGAAAAGUCUGUGACAUGUUCCAUGGCAAGAAAGUACCUUAUGCUUCCAGGGCCACACUGGGAGUUAGACCCUGCAGAGGUCUAGUCCUUUUUUUGGCAUUGAUUUCUGGUCUGACCUUUGCCCAGUUGUUAAAUCACUGAUUUUCAAAGGUGCUGAACGACUGCCAGUAGGUCUUUUUGUGACUGAGGUCAGUAAGAGCUUGGCAGCUGGAAGCCAGAAUUUCAUCUACUCACUUCAGUUGCAGCUGUGGGUGUUUCAUAAAAAUCAUAUAUCUGGAGAAGGCAGACUAGAGUAGGGGAAAGGUUAAGUCAAAAACAAGUUGGAAGCCGUUUUAGCUGUGCUUAGUUACUUCAAGAUAUGAUUCUGGUCCAAAUAUUGUCAGACAGAUUAGUGACUAAUCUGAUAAAGAAAUUAAUUAUUUGUCAGUAAAAGCUGUUCUGUGGAGAGAAUGAUUGAUUAAAAAUGCAAUACAGGACAUUAGCACCUGACAUAGCUCUUGCUAACAGAGAUCAGAAUUAUCAGAUGAUGUCACACCACAAAAUAAGGCCAUACAAACAGUGCUAGUGUGUCUUUGGUACCAUGAUAGCACAGUUUUGAUACUUACACACUGUGGGUACAGUAUCAUAUAUUAGGGAAUGGAAUUAAUUUUGAAGUUUGAAAUCCAAAACAAUGUGAAGUACCCGGAGUAUUCUGUGGAAAGCAUCACUGAAAUCUAAUUUAAAAUACCAAUUUAGUCGAAAGUUCAAUUUCACAUUUUUCUUCAGUCAAAUACCGUUCAUCUACGUCUACUUCCCGUUGCAUGUAUGGAGCUGUGAAAUUACCCUCAAGGAAAAACAAUAUAAACCACAGCAGGUUCAAAUCCUGUAACUUAGCAUCUUGUAUUUAGUGCCAGAAGAAUGCUUAAUCCAGCCAUACAAAUAUGUGUCUAUAAUUUAUUUUUUUUUACAUUAAAACGACUGCAUAUCCUGAGACAAAAGGAUAAAAGAAACUGCAUUUCUGGAUGAAGGCUGAAUGGAACUGAGCUGCAAGCAAGGAGAGGGGACCUAAUGAUUAACUUACAUACACCCAACAGUGCUAAUGAAUGGAUAUUACAAAAGGACUGCCCAACACAGCAGCUGGGCUGUUUGCAAUAAACUUGCUGAAGAAUGCACUUCCUUCCUCACUGAAGGUUAGGAGCAUUGGAGUGUCGUGAAUCAAAUCUCCACUGGCAUAUAUUGUCAUAUGUCCAGUGACUUCAGUGUUGCUAAAAUAUUAUGCUAGUAAAGAAUUAGACCCUACCUGCUUGCCUAAUGUUUCAUUUUGGAGAAAUCAGGCAGAGCCUUCACAAACUGCAGAAAUGAGAACACUUCCAGCAUCCACACUUACAUGCAUCUUCUUUGCCUCUCCCCAGUUAUAAAUAGAACUGGUUUUGAAGAGUUCAAACAGUAUGAACAUUUUUCAUUCACAUUGCUUGUCAGUAAAAAAAUAGCCUUUCAUUUCCCACUUCCUCCCCCAAAUAUUCUAGCCCUGUUGAUGUUUUGAUUUGUUUGGGCUUUAUUUCAUCAUGCUCUCUAAAACAAAAAUAAAAGCAACCUGUCUU